UACGUAGGGUCCAAGCGUUGUUCGGAAUUAUUGGGCGUAAAGGGUGCGUAGGCGGUCUGAUAAGUCAUCUGUGAAAUCUAUGGGCUCAACCCAUAGUCUGCAGGCGAAACUGUCGGGCUUGAGUAUGGGAGAGGUAUGCGGAACUCCGAGUGUAGAGGUGAAAUUCGUAGAUAUUCGGAAGAACACCAGUGGCGAAGGCGGCAUACUGGCCCAUUACUGACGCUGAGGCUCGAAAGCGUGGGGAGCAAACAGG
rnacentral:rRNA from 1 species